GUACCUUCAAGCUCUGCUUGGUGUUGGGUGUUUGUCUCGCCGCGUGCGUGGACUCGCCUUAAAGCAAUUGGCAGCCGGCAUACUGGUCGAAAAGCGCAGCACAAUUUGCGCUACUCGUCCGGUAGGUUGGCGUCCAUCAAGCCUAUUGUUCAC
rnacentral:misc_RNA from 1 species